rnacentral:rRNA from 1 species
UACGUAGGGGGCAAGCGUUGUCCGGAUUUAUUGGGCGUAAAGAGCGUGUAGGCGGCCAUACAGGUCAGCUGUGAAAACUCGAGGCUCAACCUCGAGACGUCGGUUGAAACCGUAUGGCUAGAGUCCGGAAGAGGAGAGUGGAAUUCCCGGUGUAGCGGUGAAAUGCGCAGAUAUCGGGAGGAACACCGAUGGCGAAGGCAGCUGCCUGGCCUAACACUGACGCUGAGGUGCGAAAGCGUGGGGAGCGAACGGG